UACAAAUACAUGUGAAAGUUUGAAACAAUCUAUUCAUUGAGAAAAAUAUACCGUAAACUUAUUAUGUUUUAAAAUUGAUAGACACAUAUAUAUUAUAAUAUAUACCAAUUUAGAAUUGAAACAAAAUAUUUAUAUAAAAAUAAAUGAAAACAAAAACUGCGCGGUUGCGCAGAUCGAGAUCUAGUUUAGUUUUAAAUUAGAAGCACAAUAAACUCGAAUUUAUCAUGUUCAGCACAAAUGAUGAAUAAGAAAGGAAUUAAUGGAUCUUCAUACCUAAUUCCCUUUUACGGAGUGAAAUGCUCAUGAGAUUCUCCAUUGAUCAACCCUGUAUAAGAAACAGGUCGAACACAGCUCAUCACCCAACUAAUCUAUCGCCUAUCAAAACCCAUGUUCACAAACAAAUCAUAGACUAUAAUACAAAUCGAGAAAUAAAUCAAUUACUAUUAGCUGUAUAUAACACAUCAUUGGACUAUUAAUCAUCGUUUCCAACACAUGCAUAUUAUUUUAUUGAUUUAUCAAAAAUGUUAUCAACAUUUUGUAACCAAUAUGACCUAGAGAGUGCUUAUAGAAAACAUAUUAUUCUCAUAGAUAUAGCAAACAAACAAAUAUUUUCGUGUAAGAUCAUAAUAGAUCAGCGUUAAAAAAAAAAAAAAACAAGUCUUUGCGCAUUACUAGUCCAACUCUCCCAUAUACAAACGCAAUUAAUCUCGCGAAACUGAUUCUUAAAAUCCCUAAAUCACACAAUUUGCCCAGUAAAAACGGAAAUUCUUUUUUCUUUUUUUGCAAAAGUAAAACGGGAAAUUCUUCCCGGCAUAGAAAGAGACGAUUAGUUUUUCUUUUACUCAACUUCAACUUUCAUUUGCCAAAGGUCUGAUACAACCAAUUGUGACCACAGUGCUUCAAGAGAGACUUUAGCCACAAUGUGAUAUAUGGAAGAAGAUAUAGCAUCAUCUAGGAUCACUCAUUUGGAUCCUACAUUACCCUAUCCUUUAUAUAUAAAACACAAGUCACUCAGCCAAUCGUAUUAUGCCACAUAAUUUUAAAAUUAAAUUAGUUUAAAAUAUUAAAAAAAAACAAAACUUUCCAACCAAUUUUGAUAUUCAUUAAACAAAAUAAAAUAAAAAAAUUCUGAGUCCAUCACGCCACUCACUAUGAUCACCCACUAACCACCAAUCUUCAGAUAACUGCUCUAUGUUACGAUCUAUGUUUGUGGAAGGUUAUUCUAUAACUGUCUGUUACUAAAAAAAACACUAUUCCUCUGAUCUACAAACCCGAUGUGGGAAUGCAACAGUUCUUCUCUAAAAUAAAUUCUUCUAUCAUAUUUGCAUAACUUUCUCUUGCUUAAUAUAUUUGGUUCUCACUCUUUUGAGUCUUUUCUCCACUUCAUACAACAUUUUCAUGCAAAAGUUCUUCUCAGUCAAUUUUAAGAUUUCAAAAAACGUGGAAAGAGCAAAAAUAUCUAACAUUACCAAAAAGACUAUCAGCAACAAUGGAAUUACAGGUAUGAGUAUCAUAUUUUACUAAACUCUUAAUCAUAAUGAAGUGUUGCAUUUCUUUUACAGAAUAAAAAAAGAAGUGUUGUAUUUUGCAUAGUCUUCUUUGGAUUAAUAUUUGUUUUUUUUUGUUCCUGCAUCAAAAAUAAAAUCCAUGAUGAAAACACUAUAAUAUUUUUUUUGUUCGUCCCUCCAAAAAAAAAGAAUAAAAUGUUAUCAUUAUUCUAAUAGAA